CAUCUGUUAAGGGCUCGACCGGUGUAGGAGAUGGUGUUGGAGAGGGUAAUGAGUCACUUAAAGUAGUGUGUGGACCUAUAUCUUAAGAAAAAAAAUAUCAAUUAGGUUAGUAGGCAGAGGAUUGGAUUAAGGUCGACUUGAGUAAACUUGAAGUGGAGGAGAGGACUUUUUGUCAGGAAGAAUAGGAAUAGGAAGUGCUGUGGAAAUGAAAGUUUGGUUAACGGUAUUUGGUGAAAAAUAUGAAGAAGUCUCGAAAAAGAUUACAUCUGCUAAAAAAAAAUAUUUAUUGGUAGUUGGAUCAUAGCAUUUGUAGCUUUUUUGAAGACGAGAGUACCUUAUGAAAACACAUUUGAUAGAUUUUGGUUGAAGUUUGUCUUUUCCUGGAGUGAGAUUGUGAACAAAACUGGUACAAUCAAAGACACGCAAUGAAGGAGGAAAAGCAUUUUGAUGUGGAUGGAGAACUAAAUGAGGACUUUGAUUCUGCAAAAUAGAAGAAGACAUAUGAUUAAUCAAAUAGCAAUCAAUAAGGACAGCAUUCCCCCAAAAACGAAGGGGUACAUGAUGAUGAAGGAGCAAAGUACAAGCUGUUUCAAUUAGAUGUUUAUUUUUACGCUCAACUACUCCAUUUUGUUGAGGAGUACGGGCACAAGAAGACUGAUGACUAAUACCCGGAGAAGACAUAAAGGUUUGAAAAGGAAGAGAAGAAUAUUUUCGUGCAUUAUCACUGUGCAACACUUUAAUAGAAAAGCCAAAUUGAGUAUGUAUCUCAGCACAAAAUUUUUAAAAGAUAGAAAGCAACUCAGAAUAAUUUUUCAUUAAAAAUAACUAAGUGCAAUGAGAAUAUUCAUCAAUAAAGGUGACCAAAUAAUGAAAAACCAAAGUUAAAUUGACUCAACUUGGACACCAUAUAUCUAAAUGAACAAUGUCAAACAUGGAUGCAAUCCGAUUAUUAAGUCUUUUUGGAAAAGAAGAACGUGUUUUUUUGCUAAGUUGAUAAGACUCACAAUUUAAAAAGGAUAAGUGAGAAAGAGAAGGAACUAGUUUUUGGAAUUUGGAUAUAUUUGGGUGACCCAAAUAAUUAUGAAGACUAUAAGUGGCAUCAGAAGUAAAGGCAACAUGAGACUUUGAGCUAGAGAGAUGAUACAGUCCUUGUAACUCAUGGCCAGUGUUAUCAAGGCAACAGGGAACCCUAUGGCCUUAGGCGAGAGACGAGGCGAGGCCUUUUUGAAGCAAAGUGCCAUAGUCUAAAUUGUCUAAUAUAUAUGUGUGUGUGUGUGUAUUAGAAGAAGGAAGGCACUUUGAAUCCUGUGAUUCUUGUAUUCUCAUGUGCUUUUCACUGUAUAAGCAUGCAUAAUAAAUAUUUUGUUUAAUUAUUAGUGUGGGUUUUCUGAA
rnacentral:misc_RNA from 1 species